UAGGGAAUCUUCCGCAAUGGACGCAAGUCUGACGGAGCAACGCCGCGUGAGUGAAGAAGGAUUUCGGUUCGUAAAACUCUGUUGUUAGAGAAGAACAGCGCAUAGAGUAACUGUUAUGCGUGUGACGGUAUCUAACCAGAAAGCCACGGCUAACUACGUGCCAGCAGCUGCGGUAAUACGUAGGUGGCAAGCGUUGUCCGGAUUUAUUGGGCGUAAAGCGAGCGCAGGCGGUCAAUUAAGUCUGAUGUGAAAGCCCCCGGCUCAACCGGGGAGGGUCAUUGGAAACUGGUUGACUUGAGUGCAGAAGAGGAGAGUGGAAUUCCAUGUGUAGCGGUGAAAUGCGUAGAUAUAUGGAGGAACACCGGUGGCGAAGGCGACUCUCUGGUCUGUAACUGACGCUGAGGCUCGAAAGCGUGGGUAGCAAACAGG
rnacentral:rRNA from 1 species